AUCGCUUCUCGGCCUUUUGGCUAAGAUCAAAGUGUAGUAUCUGUUCUGAUCAGCUUAAUAUCUGAUACGAUCCCCAUGUGGGAUCUACAAUAUUAAAAUUAUUUUUGGAAAAUGGCGAAGGGCUAGGGGCUUGCUCCAACUUUGUCGCAGAUCGGCCCAGUAUUGCAGUGCCUCCUGGAUUGGUCCACUCCCU
rnacentral:snRNA from 1 species